UACAAGCUAUGAUGAUGAUGACCUUGAGUCGUGUUGCUGAAACAUAAUGAGGCUUUUAAGUCACUACCUCAUCUGAGCUUGUU